UACGAAGGGGGGCUAGCGUUGCUCGGAAUCACUGGGCGUAAAGGGUGCGUAGGCGGGUCUUUAAGUCAGGGGUGAAAUCCUGGAGCUCAACUCCAGAACUGCCUUUGAUACUGAAGAUCUUGAGUUCGGGAGAGGUGAGUGGAACUGCGAGUGUAGAGGUGAAAUUCGUAGAUAUUCGCAAGAACACCAGUGGCGAAGGCGGCUCACUGGCCCGAUACUGACGCUGAUGCACGAAAGCGCGGGGAGCGAACGGG
rnacentral:rRNA from 1 species